GAUCAUUACAGAAUGUCAAUCAUUCUCACCCUUGUGUAUCAAUCUUGUUGCUUUGGCGUGUCUCGACACGCCAGAGACGUCUUCAAACUCGUCUAAUCGUAUUUCUGAACUAAACAAAACAAAACAAAACUUUCAACAACGGAUCUCUUGGUUCUGGCAUCGAUGAAGAACGCAGCGAAAUGCGAUAAGUAAUGUGAAUUGCAGAAUUCAGUGAAUCAUCGAAUCUUUGAACGCACAUUGCGCUCUCCAGUGUUCUGGAGAGCAUGCCUGUUCGAGCGUCAUUAAAACCCUCAAGCUCAGCUUGAUGUUGAACGUGAUCUUAUGAUCUGUUCGAAACACCUUUGGCGUGACAGACCAGCUUCAAGCGUAGCAAGAAAACUCGCUUCGUCGUUUGUCUGGUGUUGCCAGUUAAGAUCUCACUUAACCUUUGACCUCGAAUCAGGUAGGGCUACCCGCUGAACUUAAGCAUAUCAAUAAGCGGAGGAAAAGAAACCAACAGGGAUUGCCUCAGUAACGGCGAGUGAAGCGGCAACAGCUCAAAUUUGAAAUCUCUCCGGAGAGUUGUAAUUUGCAGAGGCAGCUUUGGAUAUGCGUUGGCCAAAGUUCUUUGGAACAGGACAUCACAGAGGGUGAGAAUCCCGUUUGUGGCCAAAGGCGGAUCCGUGUAAAGCUCCUUCGACGAGUCGAGUUGUUUGGGAAUGCAGCUCUAAAUGGGAGGUAUAUUUCUUCUAAAGCUAAAUAUUGGCCAGAGACCGAUAGCGCACAAGUAGAGUGAUCGAAAGAUGAAAAGCACUUUGGAAAGAGGGUUAAAAAGUACGUGAAAUUGUUGAAAGGGAAGCGUUUGCGGCCAGACUUGAUCGUGGUGGCUCAGCCGGUCUCUGCCCGGUGCACUCCUCCACGUCAGGCCAGCAUCAGUUUGAGGGGUCGGAUAAAGGCAUCGGGAACGUGGCUCCUCGGAGUGUUAUAGCCCCUUGCACAAUACGGCCUCCCCAGA
rnacentral:rRNA from 1 species